CUGAGUACCGGGUCUCUCAGGCCCUUACUCCCACCCUUUGUGUACCUUACCGUUUAAUUCAGUUGCCUUGGUGGGCCUUUUUCCUAUCCUCCUAGGAAUCCGCUAACCCGGUCCUUUGGGGCAGGAAAACCCGCCAGGGGGACUCCCCUAAACUCUUAUUGAAUUGGGACGUCUGAGAAAACAAAACAAAUUAAAUUA
rnacentral:misc_RNA from 1 species